GAUGAACGCUGGCGGCGUGCCUAAUACAUGCAAGUCGAGCGAACGGACGAGAAGCUUGCUUUUCUGAUGUUAGCGGCGGACGGGUGAGUAACACGUGGAUAACCUACCUAUAAGACUAGGAUAACUUCGGGAAACCGGAGCUAAUACCGGAUAAUAUUUUGAACCGCAUGGUUCAAAAGUGAAAGACGGUCUUGCUGUCACUUAUAGAUGGAUCCGCGCUGCAUUAGCUAGUUGGUAAGGUAACGGCUUACCAAGGCAACGAUGCAUAGCCGACCUGAGAGGGUGAUCGGCCACACUGGAACUGAGACACGGUCCAGACUCCUACGGGAGGCAGCAGUAGGGAAUCUUCCGCAAUGGGCGAAAGCCUGACGGAGCAACGCCGCGUGAGUGAUGAAGGUCUUCGGAUCGUAAAACUCUGUUAUUAGGGAAGAACAUAUGUGUAAGUAACUGUGCACAUCUUGACGGUACCUAAUCAGAAAGCCACGGCUAACUACGUG
rnacentral:rRNA from 1 species